rnacentral:rRNA from 1 species
CCUACGGGUGGCUGCAGUGGGGAAUAUUGGACAAUGGGGGGAACCCUGAUCCAGCCAUGCCGCGUGUGUGAAGAAGGCCCUCGGGUUGUAAAGCACUUUCAGUGAGGAAGAACGCCUGGUGGUUAAUACCCAUCAGGAAAGACAUCACUCACAGAAGAAGCACCGGCUAACUCCGUGCCAGCAGCCGCGGUAAUACGGAGGGUGCGAGCGUUAAUCGGAAUUACUGGGCGUAAAGCGCGCGUAGGUGGCUUGAUAAGCCGGUUGUGAAAGCCCCGGGCUCAACCUGGGAACGGCAUCCGGAACUGUCAAGCUAGAGUGCAGGAGAGGAAGGUAGAAUUCCCGGUGUAGCGGUGAAAUGCGUAGAGAUCGGGAGGAAUACCAGUGGCGAAGGCGGCCUUCUGGACUGACACUGACACUGAGGUGCGAAAGCGUGAGUAGCAAACAGGAUUAGAUACCCCAGUAGUC